AGAGUUUGAUCCUGGCUCAGAUUGAACGCUGGCGGCAUGCCUUACACAUGCAAGUCGAACGGCAGCACGGGUGCUUGCACCUGGUGGCGAGUGGCGAACGGGUGAUUAUUAUAUCGGNAACGUACCUUAUCGUGGGGGAUAACGCAGCGAAAGCUGCGCUAAUACCGCAUACGCCCUGAGGGGGAAAGCGGGGGACCGUAAGGCCUCGCGCGAUUAGAGCGGCCGAUAUCUGAUUAGCUUGUUGGUGGGGUAAAAGCCCACCAAGGCGACGAUCAGUAGCUGGUCUGAGAGGACGAUCAGCCACACUGGGACUGAGACACGGCCCAGACUCCUACGGGAGGCAGCAGUGGGGAAUUUUGGACAAUGGGGGCAACCCUGAUCCAGCAAUGCCGCGUGAGUGAAGAAGGCCUUCGGGUUGUAAAGCUCUUUUGUCAGGGAAGAAACAGCAGCUCUAACACAGUCUGCGAAUGACGGUACCUGAAGAAUAAGCACCGGCUAACUACGUGCCAGCAGCCGCGGUAAUACGUAGGGUGCAAGCGUUAAUCGGAAUUACUGGGCGUAAAGCGUGCGCAGGCGGUUAUACAAGACAGGCGUGAAAUCCCCG
rnacentral:rRNA from 1 species